rnacentral:rRNA from 1 species
UACGGAGGGGGCUAGCGUUGUUCGGAAUUACUGGGCGUAAAGCGCACGUAGGCGGCUUUGCAAGUUAGAGGUGAAAGCCCGGGGCUCAACUCCGGAAUUGCCUUUAAAACUGCAUCGCUAGAAUUGUGGAGAGGUAAGUGGAAUUCAGAGUGUAGAGGUGAAAUUCGUAGAUAUUCGGAAGAACACCAGUGGCGAAGGCGACUUACUGGACACAUAUUGACGCUGAGGUGCGAAAGCGUGGGGAGCAAACAGG